AUUGAACGCUGGCGGCAGGCUUAACACAUGCAAGUCGAGCGGAGAUGAGGUGCUUGCACCUUAUCUUAGCGGCGGACGGGUGGAGUAAUGCUUAGGAAUCUGCCUAUUAGUGGGGGACAACAUUCCGAAAGGAAUGCUAAUACCGCAUACGUCCUACGGGAGAAAAGCAGGGGAUCUUCGGACCUUGCGCUAAUAGAUGAGCCUAAGUCGGAUUAGCUAGUUGGUGGGGUAAAGGCCUACCAAGGCGACGAUCUGUAGCGGGGUCUGAGAGGAUGAUCCGCCACACUGGGACUGAGACACGGCCCAGACUCCUACGGGAGGCAGCAGUGGGGAAUAUUGGACAAUGGGGGGAACCCUGAUCCAGCCAUGCCGCGUGUGUGAAGAAGGCCUUAUGGUUGUAAAGCACUUUAAGCGAGGAGGAGGCUACUGAGACUAAUACUCUUGGAUAGUGGACGUUACUCGCAGAAUAAGCACCGGCUAACUCUGUG
rnacentral:rRNA from 1 species